AAAUUUUGAAAUAAAUUUAAAAUUUCAGGUUUAAAACAUGGCAAAUGAAUAACUAAAGAUGGAUUUUUAAAAACUAAAAGGAAAUGCACGCACUUUUUCAAACGGUGAAGCGAGAAUUAUUGAUUUUGACACGAAAGAACCAAGCAAGGCAAGCAUAAAAGUUGAACUUUAUUAGUAAAACUGGGAUCCAUAUAAAAGGCCAAGUUACCAAGUAUUUGUAUUUCAAUUUUUCCUUGGACUUCCUACCCAAUUGGAGAUGAAAAGGCG